rnacentral:lncRNA from 1 species
UUGCCUUUUGUUUCAUUGAAACUCUGAAUUUAUAACCUGAUUUUUGUGAACCUGUGGGCUCAAAUGAGAGAGGCCCAAGUCCAAAAUGUUUCUGUUAUAUUUUUUUUAUUUAUUUAUUAUUAUUUUCUUUUCUUUUUCUUUUCUUUUUUUUUUUCGUUUUUCGUUCUUUUUUAUUUAUUUAUUUAUUUUUUUCUUUUUUUUUUCGUUUUUU